rnacentral:rRNA from 1 species
CUCUUUAACCUAUCUAUGUUAGCGCGUCAAGCAUGGAGACUCCUUCAGAAUCCCGACACUCUCAGCGCACGCGUCUUAAAGAGCGUAUACUACCCUGAUACGGAUAUUUUGCAUGCAAAUCUUGGCGGUCAUCCAGGUCAGGUAUGGCGUGCGAGUGUUGAAGGCCGGGACGUGCUAAAGCAAGGCAUUAUCCGACGUAUAGGCAAUGGUGAAACUACGGAUAUAUGGGCUGAUACCUGGUUGCCA